rnacentral:tRNA from 1 species
UUGAAGAUGAAGCUCAGUGGUAGACCAUGUGUCUAGCAUGUUUAAGGUCCUGGGUUCAAUUCCCAGUAAA